AAUGCUUGUAUUUCUUAGUUUUUCCACCUACCUAUGGCACAUCAUUUCAAGAAUAUAGUUGUUGAAGCAACUUAUAUGCAAAGCACGACUACUAUCACGACAUCCUUUUUGAGGACAAAGAUAAUUAAUAACACGACAUUCUAUGUCUCAUUGCUAUCUUAUUUAUUUGAUCAUUUUGGGAGCUUCAAUUCCUUGAAUAAUUCAGUGAAUGCCAUCUGCAAUGACCCGUUGUCUGCCAAUGCCAACACUCAUCUAGCCUUCUCCUUCGCCAAUGUCAGCCUUCCACUUAGAUUCUCCCCUUCUUCUCCAUGCCCUCAGCCUUCACAAGUUCCUCGUCAUACUUCUCCAUCACCUCCCCGACAUUCAUAUCAUCCACCACGAAUAUAAUUCAUAACAUUCAGGCGGUAAAGGUCAAUGUACACCAAGCCGGUCAAAUAAAUAGUACUUUAGCAUCUCUCAAGGGAAGUUUCAAAUUUCACCUAAAAAUUUCAAUUAAAGUCAUGUCAAUAAUUUAAUCUUCUACCAAUAUUAAAUACUAUAUGAUAAAUGUGAUAGCUUAAAUUCAAAGUAAUAGAUUGGAUCCUCCCUUCACAAUAUGACUGGUAGAUAGUUUUGAGAGGAAAUCUGCAUAUAUUUUAGCAUAGACUUACCCAAAGAAAAAGUCAUUAUAACCGUUCAACAAAUGACCUAUAACCUCUAAUGUACCGAAGGGGAACAGAUCAGAUGACAUGUUUUUGUAAGUCCUAGGAUACCCAAAAAGCACAUCAUCAUGACAUGUCCUAAGUUGGAAGUGUGACACUUAUGAC
rnacentral:lncRNA from 1 species